CAGGGAAUUUUGCACAAUGGACGAAAGUCUGAUGCAGCGACGCCGCGUGGGGGAUGAAUGCCUUCGGGUUGUAAACCCCUUUCAGGAGGGACGAAGCGAAAGUGACGGUACCUCCAGAAGAAGCCCCGGCCAACUACGUGCCAGCAGCCGCGGUAAUACGUAGGGGGCGAACGUUGUCCGGAUUUAUUGGGCGUAAAGAGCUCGUAGGCGGCUCAGCAAGUCGGCCGUGAAAACCCGGGGCUCAACCCCGGGACGCCGGUCGAAACUGCUGUGGCUAGGGUUCGGUAGAGGAGAGUGGAAUUCCCGGUGUAGCGGUGAAAUGCGCAGAUAUCGGGAGGAACACCAGUAGCGAAGGCGGCUCUCUGGGCCGAUACCGACGCUGAGGAGCGAAAGCUAGGGGAGCAAACAGGAUUAGAUACCCUGGUAGUCCUAGCCGUAAACGUUGGGCACUAGGUGUGGCGGACUCAUUGACGUCUGCCGUGCCGCAGCUAACGCAUUAAGUGCCCCGCCUGGGGAGUACGG
rnacentral:rRNA from 1 species